ACGGGGGGUGCAAGCGUUGUUCGGAAUUAUUGGGCGUAAAGGGCGCGUAGGCGGUUGGUUAAGUGAGAUGUGAAAGCCCCGGGCUUAACCUGGGAACUGCAUUUGAGACUGGCUGACUUGAGUGCUGGAGAGGGUGGUGGAAUUCCAGGUGUAGGGGUGAAAUGCGUAGAGAUGUGGAGGAACACCAGUGGCGAAGGCGGCUGCCUGGACCGUAACUGACGCUGAGGCGCGAAAGUGUGGGUAGCAAACAG
rnacentral:rRNA from 1 species